rnacentral:sRNA from 2 species
UCAGUUGUCAGAGGGGAGUAACUUAACUUUAGUUGAAAAUAUAUGAGUUUCGCAUACAAUCGUUUAUAUAUGGUAAGUAAUGCAACUUAUUUAUCUUUUAACUUAGUCAUUUUAUCGUCAUUACGAAGUAUCAAACUUCCGGUAAAGUGGGCAGAAUAAAACUGUCGAGUGAGACCUUUGCU